rnacentral:rRNA from 1 species
UACGGAGGGUGCAAACGUUGCUCGGAAUCAUUGGGCGUAAAGCGCACGUAGGCGGCCUGUUAAGUCGGAUGUGAAAGCCCUGGGCUCAACCCAGGAAGUGCAUUCGAAACUGGCAGGCUUGAAUAUGGAAGAGGGUCGCGGAAUUCCCGGUGUAGAGGUGAAAUUCGUAGAUAUCGGGAGGAACACCAGUGGCGAAGGCGGCGACCUGGGCCAAUAUUGACGCUGAGGUGCGAAAGCGUGGGGAGCGAACAGG